rnacentral:misc_RNA from 1 species
UACGUAGGGUGCUAACGUUGUUCGGAAUCAUUGGGCGUAAAGCGCGUGUAGGUGGUUAAGUAAGUUGGGUGUGAAAUGCCUGGGCCCAACCGAGGAAGUGCAUCCAAAACUACUUAGCUAGAGGACGGUAGAGGAAGGUGGAAUUCCGUGUGUAGAGGUGAAAUUCGUAGAUAUACGGAGGAAUACCGGUGGCGAAGGCGGCCUUCUGGGCCGUUCCUGACACUGAGACGCGAAAGCGUGGGGAGCAAACAGG